GGUGGCUCAGUGGUAGAGCACUUGCCUUGCAUGCAUGAGGCACUAGGUUCGAUUCCUCAGCACCA
rnacentral:tRNA from 1 species